rnacentral:sRNA from 1 species
GCUGGGUAUGGUGGCACGUGCCUGUAAUCGCAGCAGCUCAAGAGGCUGAGACAGGAGGAUCACGAGUUUAAAGCCAACAUCAGGAAUGGGGAGUUGCUAGGCAACUCAGUGAGACCCUGUCUCUA